GACGAACGCUGGCGGCGUGCCUAAUACAUGCAAGUCGAACGGUCUUUUCUAUGGAAGCUUGCUUCCACUGAGAAGAUAGUGGCGAACGGGUGAGUAACACGUGGGUAACCUGCCCAUAAGAGGGGGAUAACAUCCGGAAACGGGUGCUAAUACCGCAUAGUUUUCUUGAUCGCAUGAUUGAGAAAGGAAAGACGGCCUUUGUGCUGUCGCUUAUGGAUGGACCCGCGGCGUAUUAGUUAGUUGGUGAGGUAACGGCUCACCAAGACGAUGAUACGUAGCCGACCUGAGAGGGUGAUCGGCCACAUUGGGACUGAGACACGGCCCAAACUCCUACGGGAGGCAGCAGUAGGGAAUCUUCCGCAAUGGACGAAAGUCUGACGGAGCAACGCCGCGUGAGUGAAGAAGGCUUUCGGAUCGUAAAACUCUGUUGUCAGAGAAGAACAAGUCGGAGAGUAACUGCUCCGGCCUUGACGGUAUCUGACCAGAAAGCCACGGCUAACUACGUGCCAGCCGCCGCUGUAAUAC
rnacentral:rRNA from 1 species